rnacentral:rRNA from 1 species
AAUACCACAUUUAUUUGACGAAGGCUCCAAAGGAAGCCACGGCUAACUCUGUGCCAGCAGCCGCGGUAAUACAGAGGUGGCAAGCGUUGUUCGGAAUUAUUGGGCGUAAAGAGCACGUAGGUGGGUUUGUAAGUCAGAUGUGAAAGCCUUCUGUUCAACGGAAGAAUUGCAUCUGAAACUGCGAGUCUUGAGUGUAGGAGGGGAGAAUGGAACUUCUGGUGGAGCGGUGAAAUGCGUAGAUAUCAGAAGGAACGCCGGCGGCGAAAGCGAUUCUCUGGCCUAUUACUGACGCUCAGUGUGCGAAAGCUAGGGGAGCAAACGGGAUUAGAUACCCCGGUAGUCCUAGCCGUAAACGAUGGGCACUAAGUAGAGGGAAUUACCGAUGUUCUCUCUGCCGUAGCUAACGCAUUAAGUGCCCCGCCUGGGGAGUACGGCCGCAAGGCUAAAACUCAAAAGAAUUGACGGGGGCUCGCACAAGCGGUGGAGCAUGUGGCUUAAUUCGAUGCAACGCGAAGAACCUUACCGGGGCUUGACAUGGUAGAAGUAGGAACCCGAAAGGGUAAUGAACGGUAUCCAGUCCGUAACUAUCACAGGUGUUGCAUGGCUGUCGUCAGCUCGUGUCGUGAGACGUUGGGUUAAGUCCCCUAACGAGCGAAACCCUUGUUUUUAGUUACCAGCGGGUUGUGCCGGGUACUCUAGAAAGACUGCCGUCGUCAAGACGGAGGAAGGUGGGGAUGACGUCAAGUCAUCAUGGCCCUUAUGCCCCGGGCUGCACACNUGCUACAAUGGUCGGUACAAACGGAAGC